rnacentral:rRNA from 1 species
AAAACAUAGCCUUAAGAAGCGAUUUAAGGUAAGCCCUGCCCAGUGGAUAUAUUCUUAACGGCCGCAGUACCUUGACUGUGCUAAGGUAGCGUAAUCAGUUGGCUUUUAAAUGGAGUCCAGAAUGAACGGGGCCAUGGGGAGAGACUGUCUCUUUCUUGAUUAAUUUAACUUGCUUAAUAGGUGAAAAUACCUUUUUAAAGAAAAAAGACGAGAAGACCCUUAGAGCCUAACAAUAUAAUAUGAUUUAUUUGUUUUUGUUGGGGCGACAAGAAGACAAUAUAAUUAAACUCUUCUUUUAUACUAAACGAUUGUAAUAUAAAAGAACAGGCUACCUUAGGGAUAACAGCAUAAUUAUUUUUAGUUUGUGACCUCGAUGUUGGACUAGGAACUUGAUGACUAGUCGUCAAUAAAGGAAAGUUCUUGUUCGAACUAUUUUUUCCUACGUG